rnacentral:rRNA from 1 species
GGGCCCGCACAAGCGGUGGAGCAUGUGGUUUAAUUCGAUGAUACGCGAGGAACCUUACCAGGGCUUAAAUGUAAGUUGCAUAGAUCAGAGAUGGUCUUUUCUUCGGACUACUUACAAGGUGCUGCAUGGUUGUCGUCAGCUCGUGCCGUGAGGUGUCAGGUUAAGUCCUAUAACGAGCGCAACCCCUGUCGUUAGUUACCAGCAAGUAAUGUUGGGUACUCUAGCGAGACUGCCGGUGCAAACCGUGAGGAAGGUGGGGAUGACGUCAAAUCAUCACGGCCCUUACGUCCUGGGCUACACACGUGCUACAAUGGCCGGUACAGAGAGCAGCCACUACGCGAGUAGGAGCGAAUCUUCAAAGCCGGUCUCAGUUCGGAUCGCAGUCUGCAACUCGACUGCGUGAAGCUGGAAUCGCUAGUAAUCGG